CGCGUUUCGCAUCUUCAUUUUUCACGCGCGUGAAUACGUACCUAUAAUAUCAGUAUCUAAUAUCUAUCACGAUUCAUAAUUUGGCAUUUGUUGUGUCGUAGUAGAUGCGUUUAAGAUAACUCUUCACUGAAAAUGCUCAAGCGAACUUUUCAUGAUUUAAUUGAAAUAAAAAAAAAAGUCGCAAAACUGGAAAAAUCCAAACCAGAAAAAAGUACUAAAAAGCGCCGCCGCAUAAUUGCGAUUUCAUCUUCUUCUGAAGAAGAACCUUCGGAUACCCAGUCCAAAUGUCUGGAGCGCAAGGAUGCGCCGUUGCCAGCAGUUCCUUCGGCGGAAAAGCCGGACAAAGGCAAGUCGUCGGCGCGGCCGACAUCACGCCACAAACCGUCCGACGCAAAAGCGUCACGGGGUGGAAAUAAGGAUCCAAAGUCUCGAACCGGUAUACAGAUACAAGAUAGAUUUUGGCGAAAUAUUACCAGGAACUUCUUAACUAUUGCAACGGCGGAUCUACUAAUGUAUAUUAACCAUUUUCAUUUCAUAUUUUACUGAAGCCAAUCACAACAGGAUAGACACGUAGAGAUUACGCGAAAAAUACUGGAAUGAAACCUUAAAUAUUUGUUAUCAACCAGUUACAAUUGCAGGAGUCAUUUGACUUACCUCAGUUGGUCACAUCGGAAGAGUAAACCGAGUCCUCUCCCUUCAAGGCUGGAUCCGCCCUUGCCCGGCGGGCGAACGACUGAGCCUGCAUCUCGAUCAUUCGCCCUUAAUUCCAAACGAUAAAGCGCGAUUCAUAGCCAUGAACCACCACCGGAUUCCACCAGCGGAGCUGACCAGCAUCGCUCCAAGAAAGGAAAUAAAAAACGAUCAAUAAAGAAGUAAAUCCCUA